UCUAGUAAGUGGUUCCUUCCAAUGUGCACACCAUGGAGCAAAGAUAUACUAGGCAAGAAGCUUGAUACUCUGGUGCGUGCACAGUAUCAUCAGUGGAGAAGGAGAGAAAGUGUAGAGUGACACACACAGCGUUAGAUUUGAUUUGAGCUGACAGUGGUGGGAAGGACUCGCAGGAGGGGGCUCGUCUGUGUCCUGGUUCCAGAUUCUCCCUGAAUCCCUGUGGACUCCUAGACUCCUUCCUUAUCUUAAAAACAACUUAAAAGGAAGGAAGAGAGACGAAAGAAGAAUCAAGCCAAGGGAAGGAUAUGAAGGACAGGAUGAAGUAAAGAGGGAUACUGGAGGAAAGCUUUUAAAAGUUAUUUAUAGGUUUGCGAUCCUCGGCAGGGUGCUGUGAAUGAAUCAAAGAAAAUGUAGUAGAGCAUGGGACGGCAACUAGAUUCAGCCGCGGGACGUUUUUUGUCGGAGCGGAUGAUUGGGCGGCCGGAACUUAAUUAUAAUAAUUUAUACAUUGCAAAUUGACCACAACUAAGCCCAAAAAGAGAUUGUAUUUGAAAUAACAAUAAUUUCAUAACUUGAUUACAUUGAGACACGAUCAAAUGUCUCUCUUUUUUUAUUUGUGGGAAUGCUUGGGAACAGACUUCCUAAAUUAAACACAUUUUUAGCUGAAUUCCUGGUUAUUUUAGUCUUUUUUUUCACGUUUUUUGUUGCCAACCCUUGCAGUAGACAGAUAUGGCGGCAGAUACUUUAGGUCUAACUUCCAUGUUCAUAAGUUAAAUCAGCAUGUGAAGUUGAAGAGCAUCACUCUAAAACUGUGAACUACAAUCCUAGUCCAUGGGGAUUCCCAAACCCCAAGGGGUGCACAUUUCUGUUCCAGCCCAGCAAUAACAUAUCUGAUUCAGCUAACAAAAUCAUAAACACCUUGAUACUACACUGAACUAAAAUAUAAACACAACAUGUGAAGUGUUGGUCCCAUGUUUCAUGAGCUGGAAUAUUAAAGAUCCCAGAAAUGUUCCAGACACACAAAAGGCUUAUUUAUCUUGAAUUUUGAGCACAAAUUUGUUUACAUCCCUGUUAGUGAGCAAUUCACCUUUGCCAAGAUAAUCCAUCCACCUGACAGGUGUGGCAAAUCAAGAAGCUGAUUAAACAGCAUGAUCAUUAUACAGGUGCACCUUGUGCUGGGGACAAUAAAAGGCCACUCUAAAAUGUGCAGUUUUGAGGGAGCGUGCAGUUUGCAUGCUAACUGCAGGAAUGUCGAACUGAGCAGUUAACAGAGAAUGUAAUGUUAAUUUCUCUACCAAUGUCGUUUUAGAGAAUUUGGCAGUAUGUCCAACCGGCCUCACGACCACAGACCACGUGUAUUGCGUCAUAUGGGCGAGUGGUUUGCUGAUGUUGUGAACAGAGUGCCCAGUGGUGGCGGUGGGGAUAUGGUAUGGGCAGGCAUAAGCUACGGACACAAUUGCAUUUUAUCGAUGGCAAUUUGAAUGCACAGAGAUACCGUGACGAGAUCCGGAGGCCCAUUGUCGUGCUAUUCAUCCACCACUAUCACCUCAUGUUUCUGUAUGACAAAGCACGGCCCCAUGUCACAAGGAUCUGUACACAAUUCCUGGAAGCUGAAAAUGCUCCAGUUCUUCCAUGGCCUGCAUACUCACCAGACAUGUCACCCAUUGAGCAUGUUUGGGAUGCUCUGGGUCGCUAAUAUCCAGCAAUUUCGCACAGCCAUUGAAGAGGAGUGGGACAACAUUCCACAGGCCACAAUCAACAGCCUGAUAGCUCUUCGCGAAGGAAAUGUGUCGCACUGCAUGAGGCAAAUGGUGGUCACACCCCAUAGUGACUGGUUUUGUGAUCCACCCCCUACCUUUUAAAAAAAAGUUAUUUGUGACCAACAGAUGCAUUUCUAUAUUCCCAGUCAUGUGAAAUCCAUAGAUUAGGG
rnacentral:lncRNA from 1 species